rnacentral:rRNA from 1 species
UACGGAGGGUGCAAGCGUUAUCCGGAUUUACUGGGUUUAAAGGGUGCGUAGGUGGGUUGGCAAGUCAGUGGUGAAAUCUUCGAGCUUAACUCGGAAACUGCCAUUGAUACUAUCAAUCUUGAAUAUCCUGGAGGUAAGCGGAAUAUGUCAUGUAGCGGUGAAAUGCUUAGAUAUGACAUAGAACACCCAUUGCGAAGGCAGCUUACUACGGGAUUAUUGACACUGAGGCACGAAAGCGUGGGGAGUCAAACAGG